rnacentral:misc_RNA from 1 species
GAAAUGCGAUACGCAAUGCGAAUUGCAGAAUUCCGCGAGUCAUCAGAUCUUUGAACGCAACUGGCGCUGGAGGGAUAUCCUUCCAGCAUGCUUGUUUCAGUGUCUAGAAACCUAACAAUAUCUUAAUGUGAUUGACAUUUCUACUGCAUUUAUGUUAUAGAAAUAUCUCUCAUUGAAUUUGAAAAUGUGGAUCUUUUGGUCCAAUGAAGUAGUCACAUAUACAUGUGAUUUCAUUUGGAAUAAACUAAAUUGUCCGUAAACAUUUAUUGUAAAUAUACAUCUUCAAUAAGCAUCUGAAAUCAAGCAAGGUCACCUGCUGAACUUAA